rnacentral:rRNA from 1 species
GAUGAACGCUGGCGGCGUGCCUAAUACAUGCAAGUCGAGCGAAUGGAUUAAGAGCUUGCUCUUAUGAAGUUAGCGGCGGACGGGUGAGAAACACGUGGGUAACCUGCCCAUAAGACUGGGAUAACUCCGGGAAACCGGGGCUAAUACCGGAUAACAUUUUGAACCGCAUGGUUCGAAAUUGAAAGGCGGCUUCGGCUGUCACUUAUGGAUGGACCCGCGUCGCAUUAGCUAGUUGGUGAGGUAACGGCUCACCAAGGCAACGAUGCGUAGCCGACCUGAGAGGGUGAUCGGCCACACUGGGACUGAGACACGGCCCAGACUCCUACGGGAGGCGGCAGUAGGGAAUCUUCCGCAAUGGACGAAAGUCUGACGGAGCAACGCCGCGUGAGUGAUGAAGGCUUUCGGGUCGUAAAACUCUGUUGUUAGGGAAGAACAAGUGCUAGUUGAAUAAGCUGGCACCUUGACGGUACCUAACCAGAAAGCCACGGCUAACUACGUGCCAGCCGCCGCGGUAA